rnacentral:tRNA from 1 species
GGUUAGCUCAGUUGGUUAGAGCAUGGUGCUGAUAACACCAAGUUCUAUAGGUUCAAUCCCUGCUGACUG